UACCAGCCCCGCGAGUGGUCGGGACGUUUACUGGGCCUAAAGCGCCCGUAGCCGGCCCGGCAAGUCCCCACUGAAAUCCCCGGGCUCAACCCGGGGACGGGUGGGGAUACUGCCGGGCUAGGGGGCGGGAGAGGCCGAGGGUACUCCCGGGGUAGGGGCGAAAUCCGAUAAUCCCGGGAGGACCACCAGUGGCGAAGGCGCUCGGCUGGAACGCGCCCGACGGUGAGGGGCGAAAGCCGGGGGAGCGAACCGG
rnacentral:rRNA from 1 species